rnacentral:lncRNA from 1 species
AAGAACCAACUAUAGAUCAGGUUCGACCACCAAGGCAAGCGCCUGACGAAAGGGUCAUGGGGGAAAGAUUGGAACAACAGCCAAUUCGACGAGAAGUCCCUGAAGAACAAUCUAGGAGAGUGAUAAUGGUUAAUAGAGACCAGGAUGUAGACGAAGUAAUUUAUAGGGUCAGGCGAGAAAACAUGAUGGAAAAUGACUUAACUAGUAUGAUAGAGAGAAUCAUGGCCCAGAAUGGUCUGAAUACAGGACUUCG